AAUCAGGUCUUACAAAACAGAACACACUUUUCUCUUUCUUCUCCUUUAUUUAAAAGAGAUGAUAGGCUUAAGGAGUUAUUUUUAAUAGGGCCUUUUUACACUGAAAAGAAUCCGGGCGUACUGUUUGCGAACUGCCUGCAGCAGGCAGGUCUCAGCGCCCCAGAAGGCGGCCGGCCUCAGCCUGGGCGCCUGCGGGGAUCGCUCCCUGCUGCCUCGGCGCAUUUUUUCCCCAGGGACGUGGGCCACAGUCUCCCCUGGAAACCCUGGGUGACAGGCUCCCUCCUGGGCGACCGACCUUUCCUCGCGUCUUUCGCCCUCCCGGAGCCGCAGCUCCAUCCCUCCCGGGCCGCUAGUCCUCCGAAGCAGGCCCUAGCCCCGGCGCGAGCUGCCUCCUCCGCAGUCCCCGCCCGCCGCCAGCCCCCGGCCACCGCGGGACGGCGCCCUUCCCAGCCCCGCGGCGCCGGGCCCCGCGCCCCGGCCCGCCUCCCGCGUCCGCGCCCACGUCGCUUGCCCUGGCUGCCAAGUCUUCCAGACGCCCGGGCCCUCCCGGGGAACCCAGCGCUGGAACCCCCAGCCCCCGGCCCCGCAGGAUGCGGGAGACAGGGCCCGGCCGCCGAGCCGGGGCGUCCCCGGGCCUCGAGGCGGCCCAACGCCCCCGCCCCCGCUAGCGCCCCCGCGUCCCCAGGCCGUCCCCGCCGCGCCCUCAGCGCCGCAGCCCCCGGGCGGUCCACGGCUCAGCGGAGAACCCCGCCCCGCGCCCCGGAGGCGCCCACCCCGCGGCCUGAGUGUGCGCAGCGCCCCCAGCGGCCGUACAGAGCGCAGGCGGCGUCUCACGGAAAGAGGCCUCGGCGCGCCCGGCCCGGCCCCCUCCCCAGCCCGCCCCCGGGGCCGCCGGCGGUGUCCGCGCCUCCGCGCCCGCCCCUGAUUUCCUCCGGGCGGCGGCGGCGGCGGCGGCGGCGCCUCGUGCGCGCGGUUAUUUAUUUCCGGGCCCCAGAACGCUUAUAA
rnacentral:lncRNA from 13 species